UACGUAGGGUCCGAGCGUUGUCCGGAAUUAUUGGGCGUAAAGGGCUCGUAGGCGGUUCGUCACGUCGGGAGUGAAAACUCGGAGCUUAACUCCGAGCCUGCUUCCGAUACGGGCAGACUAGAGGUAGGCAGGGGAGAGCGGAACUCCUGGUGUAGCGGUGGAAUGCGCAGAUAUCAGGAAGAACACCGGUGGCGAAGGCGGCUCUCUGGGCCUGUCCUGACGCUGAGGCGCGAAAGCUAGGGGAGCGAACAGG
rnacentral:rRNA from 1 species